rnacentral:tRNA from 1 species
GCCUAAAUAGCUCAACUGGGAGAGCCUUAGAUUAUAAAUCGAAAAGUACCUGGUUCGAUCCCGGGUUUCGAGG